CCUACGGGCGGCUGCAGUGGGGGAUAUUGCACAAUGGAGGAAACCCUGAUGCAGCGACGCCGCGUGAGUGAAGAAGUAUUUCGGUAUGUAAAGUUCUAUCAGCAGGGAAGAAAAUGACAGUAGCUGACCAAGACGCCCCGGCGAACUACGUGACAGCAGCCGCGGUAAUACGUAGGUGGCAAGCGUUAUUCGGAUUUACUGGGGGUUAAGGGAGCGUAGACGGUUAUGUAGGUAUGGAGUGAAAGCCCGGGGCGCAACCCCGGGACUGCUUUGGAAACUGUGUGACUGGAGUACAGGAGGGGCAGGCGGAAUUCCUGGUGUAGCGGUGAAAUGCGUAGAUAGCAGGAGGAACAUCGGAGGCGAAGGCGGCCUGCUGGACUGAAACUGACGUUGAGGCUCGAAAGCGUGGGGAGCAAACAGGAUUAGAUACCCCUGUAGUC
rnacentral:rRNA from 1 species